rnacentral:misc_RNA from 1 species
UGGUUCUGGCAUCGAUGAAGAACGCAGCGAAAUGCGAUAAGUAGUGUGAAUUGCAGAAUUUAGUGAAUCAUCGAAUCUUUGAACGCACAUUGCGCCCUUCGGUAUUCCGUUGGGCAUGCCUGUUCGAGCGUCAUUUAAACCCUUCAAGCCUGGCUUGGUGUUGGGCGUUUGUCCUGCCUCUGCGUGCGGACUCGCCUCAAAUUCAUUGGCAGCCGGUAGAUUUGGCUUCGCGUGCAGCACAUUGCGCGGCGGUUCCAGCCUACCCUCUCCCAGUAAGCUAUUCUUUAUUUUGACCUCGGAUCAGGUAGGGAUACCCGCUGA